GUAAUACGUAGGUGGCAAGCGUUAUCCGGAAUUAUUGGGCGUAAAGCGCGCGUAGGCGGUUUUUUAAGUCUGAUGUGGAAGCCCACGGCUCAACCGUGGAGGGUCAUUGGAAACUGGAAAACUUGAGUGCAGAAGAGGAAAGUGGAAUUCCAUGUGUAGCGGUGAAAUGCGCAGAGAUAUGGAGGAACACCAGUGGCGCAGGCGGCUUUCUGGUCUGCAACUGACGCUGAUGUGCGAAAGCGUGGGGAUCAAACAGGAUUAGAUACCCUGGUAGUCCACGCCGUAAACGAUGAGUGCUAAGUGUUAGGGGGUUUCCGCCCCUAGUGCUGCAGCUAACGCAUUCAGCAAUCCGCCUGGGGGGGACGGUAGCAAGACUGAAAAUCAAAGGAAAUGACGGGGACCCGCACAA
rnacentral:rRNA from 1 species